GCGGGUGUCGUAUAAUGGUUAUUAUAUUACCUUGCCAAGGUAGAGAUGGCGGUUCGAUUCCGCUCACCCGCUCCA
rnacentral:tRNA from 1 species